UGGGGAAUUUUGCGCAAUGGGGGAAACCCUGACGCAGCAACGCCGCGUGGAGGAUGAAGGCCUUUGGGUUGUAAACUCCUGUCAGUGGGGAAGAAAAACCUAUGGGUUAAUACCCCGUAGGCUUGACGGUACCCGCAGAGGAAGCCCCGGCUAACUCUGUGCCAGCAGCCGCGGUAAUACAGAGGGGGCUAGCGUUAUUCGGAAUUAUUGGGCGUAAAGGGCGCGUAGGCGGCCUGGCAAGUGGAAGGUGAAAUCCCUCGGCUCAACCGAGGAACUGCCCUCCAAACUGCUUGGCUUGAGUCCGGGAGAGGCGAAUGGAAUUCCCAGUGUAGCGGUGAAAUGCGUAGAUAUUGGGAGGAACACCAGUGGCGAAGGCGAUUCGCUGGACCGGAACUGACGCUGAGGCGCGAAAGCGUGGGGAGCAA
rnacentral:rRNA from 1 species